GUUAACUUGUUCUUUAUAUGUAUAUUCUAUUGUGACGGUAGCAAUCAUGAUAACACUGAUACAUUGUUACCUUAUUCUAUGGUGAAAAGCUUAAUUUUAGGGGGGGAAAACUGAUACAUUGUUAGCUUGCAGAGUAUUAGCAAUCAUGAUACUACAUCCAAAAAGCAUCAGCCUGUUGCUAAUGAAAAGAAGAUGAAUUUGCUAGCCACUGUAGUUCCAAAGAAAGAAAUGGGAGGCUGGAAGCCAGUGAAAAGAGAGAGAGUAACUUUUUCAGACAGAAAAUCUGAGAAGGUGCACAAGGAAAAUGAACCAUACACUGAAAAGUAUCCACAGGUCAGAAGAGACUGUGCAAUUGUCAUUGAAUCUGAUGAGGAUACUGAUGCAGGGUUUUCCUGCUUGGUUGGAAAAAAUGCAGGAAAAGACCUAUUCGGGAAAUUGACGACGGAAGAAGAGGAAGAAGCUCAGUCGAUUUUGCAAAAAGCAAGGAGACGCAAGAGAAGGCAUUCUAACGCUAUGCCUAUAAUAAUCCUCUGAAGAAGGUACCCCUCUUCUAACUAUCAUGUUAGUAGUAUUUGAACUGCAUUCUAUCAAAUGCAGCUCAGGAUUGAAUGAUUUAUAGCUGUGUAAUUAAUAAGGCACUCAUCUAUUUUAAUGAUUUAAUC
rnacentral:lncRNA from 1 species